UAGGCGUACAGGGAGAUCCCUGCAAGCGGAUUUCCCCCUCGCACCCUUGUUUUUAAAGACUUUUAUCUGCACAUUGAGGGAAUGAUUUGAGUUUACCGUCUCCACCUUGUCCCUGGCCUCUAUGAAUCCCCUCCAACAGACCUCAGUACAGCAGUCCCCCCUUAUCUGCAGAUUACGGUCCAACAGCCACCGGGGAAUUACCAGCUGAGAUGCUGUUUUUCCCAGGAUUGUGUCUUGGAGGCAAUGAAAAAUGAAGCCAGCAGACAAGAGUAUGGAGCAACCAGAAAGUUCAAUAGAGGAGUGAAAAAAGAAAGGAAAGCUUCUGCUUAUCAGGAGGUCGUCCAAGGGAGGACGCCAUUAGAGCUUCACUGUCUAGGGUUUAUAAACACAAAAAUGGAGUAAACCACAAGUGGCUGGGAGUUGUUGCUAGGGCCUAUUGCUAUGGCAGAGCUAGGAUCAAAGGAAAAGAAAAAUUCCCUUUUUCCUCAGGCUGCAUCUUCUCCGAUGUCAGGGAUGAGGAUUCUUUACUUCAAAGCCUUGACCCUAGUUCCCUUGUGCCUGAGCCUUACUGGGAAGGACCUUGAGUUCUAUCUGCCUGUGUCUGACUAACACCUGCCUCAAGGGGAUGCCUGAAACCAUACCUAACUCUCGAUACACUGAUUUUUCCAUACAUAUAUACUUGUGAUAAAGUUUAACUUAUUAAUUAGUCACAUUAAGAGAUUAAUAAUAACUAACAAUAAAACAAGAGUAAUUCUAACAGUA